CCUGCGAUCUGGGCCUGUCCACCUUGCCCUGAUCUCACCCUUAACUCUAGUCUGCAACCUACUAAAGUUGUGCAACUAGGAUCGUGUCCUUUGCGUUUCUGGUUCGUCUUGAGAGUCUUCUGUGUUUGCGACGAUGACUGCCUCUUCUCGUAUGACUGCAGCACUGCCGAGAAGAAGUCCGUGCAGGAAGAUAAAGGGGAGGACGGACAGCCCGCAGACAGGGGGAGUGACACGAUUCUGGCGUCCACCUUCUCCAAGUCUGGCCGCUAUUUUGCUUUAACUGAUGACAGACGGUGGUGCGGAGGUGCACCGCCCUGACCUUCACAGCCUCCGAGGAUCGAGUCUUGGUGGCUGACAAGUCUGGAGACGUCUACUCCUUCCCGGUGCUGGAUUCGGGUGGAUGUGGCAGGCUGGAACUUGGGCACCUCUCCAUGCUGCUAGAUGUGGCUGUGAGUCCUGAUGACCAGUUUGUGCUCACCGCAGACCGGGAUGAGAAGAUCCGGGUCAGCUGGGCUGCCGCCCCACACAGCAUCGAGGCUUUCUGCCUGGGCCACACGGAGUAAGUGCCACCCUGCCCCUUCCCCAGACAAGGAAGUCGGGUCUAAUAAAUGAGGGUGGGCCAGGGCACUGGUGCUUGGGUAUACUGGUAGGGGCUUCAUGCUAAGGGAUACUUGGAGGCUCCGAUGGCCGUGUCAGGCCCAUGGCUCCCAUAGAUGUGAGAGCUGCAGAAACCCAGGGCUGUGAGCUGUGGGAAGCCCAGGGCCAGCAUAGCUCCUGGGCUGGUGCUGCUCAGCCCGUUUCCACAGUCCACACUGCAAACUCUUCCGGGCCCAGGGACCAGUGUACCCUGGUAACUGCAGGCUGUCGGGAGGAGUUAAAUGUCUGGGUCUCCGCCUGUGCUCUCCUGGCAAGUGAUCUUUGGUGGAGAAAACUGCUCUUUGGCCAGAGGUUGAUUGCAGGGUGCACAGGGAACAGCACUUAGUGUGUCUGCACUGAACGGAAAGCACGUUAUUGCAGACAGUGGGAAGGAGGCCUGGAAGACUUCAGUUCUGAGCUGGCUCUUGACUUCUCCAGUGGGAUGCAGAAGUUGGCCUUGAAGAAGGCUAUGUCAG
rnacentral:lncRNA from 1 species